UUGAUGCUCUCAGAAUUGAUGAGAUAGUUCAACUGACUCAACUGAGAUAAUGAACGCUGCCUACACAGCCUACUUUUAUGAACCAGAUGAGAACAAACAAGCCGAGCUAAUACGUGAGUUACAAGAGAAACAGUUCCCACGAUAUCUUGGUUACUACGAAAAGCUUCUGAAAGACAGCGGAACGUCUUAUUUUGUGGGGAAUUCGCUGACUCUGGCUGAUCUGAUUGUCUAUGACGCUGUAUUUUCAUUUCUUCCACGUGGUUACAGCAUU